AAUGGGGGUGGGGGGGAGAUACAGGAGGUAAGGGGGAGGAAGACCCUGGUCUAAGUCCACCAAUUCCACUUGAUAAUGCCUUUUGGGCAAUACCCCGAUCAUCUGUCAGUUAUCAGUUGUGAGGCCCCAUGUGUGCUGUUCAAUAAGAGUGUUUUGUAAAGUGCUCUGCUAAGUCCCCUGAAUUGUGAGCCAGCUGGCCCAAUCUUUCUCAUAUUUCUCUAUCCAUCAGUUUGUUUUGCUUGCCAUCCUCUCGUAUGCGCUUAUUCUGUCCAUUUUGGAAUGCAUAUUAUCUAUCGGAGGAAUCUGUUUGUUUUUCCAGUUGCCAGCCAGGACUGUUUUGGCUAUCGUCAAGAUGUUUAAGAUCACCAUUUUAUGGGGGUGUAGAUAUAGUUCUGGUAUGAUAUGAAGUAGGUAUUUUUCUGCGUGUGGGGCAAUGAGAAGCUGUGUCUUGUGAGAGAUCAUGGUCUGGACUUGGUUCCAGAAUUCUUUUAAUUUUGGACAGCUCCAGAAUAUGUGGAGCAUGGUUCCGGU